GCACUGGUGGUUCAGUGUAGAAUUCUCACCUUCCAUGUGGGAGACCCAGGUUCAAUUCCCAGCCAAUGUA
rnacentral:tRNA from 1 species